rnacentral:rRNA from 1 species
UUUGGUUAAGUUAGAAAGGGCGCACGGUGGAUGCCUUGACACUAGGAGUCGAUGAAGGACGGGACUAACGCCGAUAUGCUUCGGGGAGCUGUAAGUAAGCUUUGAUCCGAAGAUUUCCGAAUGGGGAAACCCACCAUACGUAAUGGUAUGGUAUCCUUAUCUGAAUACAUAGGGUAAGGAAGACAGACCCAGGGAACUGAAACAUCUAAGUACCUGGAGGAAGAGAAAGCAAAUGCGAUUUCCUGAGUAGCGGCGAGCGAAACGGAACAUAGCCCAAACCAAGAGGCUUGCCUCUUGGGGUUGUAGGACAUUCUAUACGGAGUUACAAAGGAACGAGGUAGACGAAGCGACCUGGAAAGGUCCGUCGUAGAGGGUAACAACCCCGUAGUCGAAACUUCGUUCUCUCUUGAAUGUAUCCUGAGUACGGCGGAACACGUGAAAUUCCGUCGGAAUCUGGGAGGACCAUCUCCCAAGGCUAAAUACUCCCUAGUGAUCGAUAGUGAACCAGUACCGUGAGGGAAAGGUGAAAAGCACCCCGGAAGGGGAGUGAAAGAGAUCCUGAAACCGUGUGCCUACAAAUAGUCAGAGCCCGUUAACGGGUGAUGGCGUGCCUUUUGUAGAAUGAACCGGCGAGUUACGAUCCCGUGCGAGGUUAAGCUGAAGAGGCGGAGCCGCAGCGAAAGCGAGUCUGAAUAGGGCGUUUAGUACGUGGUCGUAGACCCGAAACCAGGUGAUCUACCCAUGUCCAGGGUGAAGUUCAGGUAACACUGAAUGGAGGCCCGAACCCACGCACGUUGAAAAGUGCGGGGAUGAGGUGUGGGUAGCGGAGAAAUUCCAAUCGAACCUGGAGAUAGCUGGUUCUCCCCGAAAUAGCUUUAGGGCUAGCCUUAAGUGUAAGAGUCUUGGAGGUAGAGCACUGAUUGGACUAGGGGUCCUCAUCGGAUUACCGAAUUCAGUCAAACUCCGAAUGCCAAUGACUUAUCCUUAGGAGUCAGACUGCGAGUGAUAAGAUCCGUAGUCAAAAGGGAAACAGCCCAGACCGCCAGCUAAGGUCCCAAAGUGUGUAUUAAGUGGAAAAGGAUGUGGAGUUGCUUAGACAACUAGGAUGUUGGCUUAGAAGCAGCCACCAUUUAAAGAGUGCGUAAUAGCUCACUAGUCGAGUGACUCUGCGCCGAAAAUGUACCGGGGCUAAAUACACCACCGAAGCUGCGGAUUGAUACCGAAUGGUAUCAGUGGUAGGGGAGCGUUCUAAGGACAGUGAAGUCAGACCGUAAGGACUGGUGGAGUGCUUAGAAGUGAGAAUGCCGGUAUGAGUAGCGAAAGACGGGUGAGAAUCCCGUCCACCGAAUGCCUAAGGUUUCCUGAGGAAGGCUCGUCCGCUCAGGGUUAGUCAGGACCUAAGCCGAGGCCGACAGGCGUAGGCGAUGGACAACAGGUUGAUAUUCCUGUACCACCUCUUUAUCGUUUGAGCAAUGGAGGGACGCAGAAGGAUAGAAGAAGCGUGCGAUUGGUUGUGCACGUCCAAGCAGUUAGGCUGAUAAGUAGGCAAAUCCGCUUAUCGUGAAGGCUGAGCUGUGAUGGGGAAGCUCCUUAUGGAGCGAAGUCUUUGAUUCCCCGCUGCCAAGAAAAGCUUCUAGCGAGAUAAAAGGUGCCUGUACCGCAAACCGACACAGGUAGGCGAGGAGAGAAUCCUAAGGUGUGCGAGAGAACUCUGGUUAAGGAACUCGGCAAAAUGACCCCGUAACUUCGGGAGAAGGGGUGCUUUCUUAACGGAAAGCCGCAGUGAAUAGGCCCAAGCGACUGUUUAGCAAAAACACAGCUCUCUGCGAAGCCGUAAGGCGAAGUAUAGGGGGUGACACCUGCCCGGUGCUGGAAGGUUAAGGAGAGGGGUUAGCGUAAGCGAAGCUCUGAACUGAAGCCCCAGUAAACGGCGGCCGUAACUAUAACGGUCCUAAGGUAGCGAAAUUCCUUGUCGGGUAAGUUCCGACCCGCACGAAAGGUGUAACGAUUUGGGCACUGUCUCAACCAGAGACUCGGUGAAAUUAUAGUACCUGUGAAGAUGCAGGUUACCCGCGACAGGACGGAAAGACCCCGUGGAGCUUUACUGUAGCCUGAUAUUGAAUUUUGGUACAGUUUGUACAGGAUAGGCGGGAGCCAUUGAAACCGGAGCGCUAG